AAACAAAAAAAAAAACACCUUUUCUGUGCUUAGGAGCAUUAGCAUACUAUUUUCUCAACACGUUAACUUUGAUGCAGAUGGAAUCCCUACCGAGUAUCUCAACACACCAAGUACCUACUAUGCACUGUGUUCUGCUUCCUUCUAUUCCUGUCGUUCAGGUGCGUAGGCUGACUACUGGGCUGUACAUUCCUAGAACAAUUCUCUAAUUUUAAAAUGUACAUAAUGUAAGUUAUUUAAAGUCUAAAACAUACAUACACAAGGAAACCAGGGCUAUC